CUCUUCUCUUGCCGCUCUAUAGUCUAUGGUUCUAGCGUGUGUGUCGUUUGAAAGUUGUUUACAGUUGCCGAGAGCAGGAGACGCGGUAUUAUUUUGAUAGCAUCAUGUCAUGAUGUUUCGCAGUUCCAUUGGUAUCAGUACUGACGGGAUAUAUAAAAGCGUUUCGUGCUAGACGUAUUAGGAAAAAAAUAUAUUACGAUAAAAACUUCAUAAGCAGCAUGGAAAUCGAGAAAGAAGUGUGGAAAUCAGUGUUGCAAAUUCUCAUGUUUCAGCCUGUAAUGGAACUGAAAAAUGUCACCGAAUUGUUAUCGGAACUGAAUGACAGAAGAACAGUGGCGGUUGAUUUAGACAGUGUUAUUCACCAGAUAAAUCGGCAUGUGAAUCGACACGGACAGCAGUUAACUAAACAGAUCUGUGAAAUCACAGAAAAUGAAUAUCUCAUCUUAUUCAGUACGAGCAACAACGCAGCUAUUCAGACUCUGACAGGUGGUUACACAAAGGAACACAGGGAGGUCUACAAAAGGAUUCUGGCAGAAAUUAUGACUUCAGAGACUUUGGGCUGUGUGUCAUCUACCCAUGUGCUGAAUAUGUCACAAGAUAUGCCUUUUCAUAUAACAAAAGGGCAUCUCCAGGAUAUUGCAGAGAAACUCAUUAAUGAUGGGUGGUUCUGCAAAAAGGAAGGCAAGAUCUACAUAGGCGUUCGCACCAUUGCUGAAAUGGCACCAUACAUUGCAGAAGCAUAUGCAGAUUGUGUUUCGAACUGUCACCUGUGCAAAGACUAUGUUUUUGUGGGAAUUGUCUGUGAAUGUGGUGUAGUGUGUCACAAACGAUGUGUGGACAAAAUGAGAAAAAUUUUGUCAGGUGUAUACGAGUGCCCCAAAUGCAAAGUUCAGCAACAGAUAUAGAAUUUUGGUAGUGUCAAAUGCAGACAACAAAUCUUGUGCAAAAUCUUUGAUCUUGGGGUAGUUUCCUUCUGGAAGAAACUUGUAAAACUCAACACAGUUUCUUCUUUAAACUGGUCCUUCACGGAAUAAUCACCUCGCAGGUCAAUGAUUUCCAUUUGCAGUGUGCCUGGACAUCUUCCACUUUGCAAGAAAAGGGGUUCUGGAAAAUCUCGAUCUCAUUGGAAUAAGCGUCUAAAUACAAGAACCUGGAAGAGAUCUCCUUCAGAUCACCAAGAAAUUACCUUGUGAACAAAAAUGGAGAACUUUAAACAUGUUCACGAUUUGAUGACUGGGAGUUGGCAAAAUGUGCUAUUCAGCAAUAUCUAACAACUGGACAAUGUGCCCAUGAACUGCGGCCCUUGGCUGGACAAGACAUACGUCUGAUUGCUGCAGUCCCCGGGUCACCAGCUAGCCACUUACAGCAGCCGACCAGCUUACUUGCAUGAACAGAUGAUCUGGAAAGUCCACUUCCGAGCACACAGUUAGAAUGUUUCCCAAAAAGGAGCAGAUUACACCUGACAGUCUGGCCUGCCCAGUUUUCAAACUGCCACUAGAUGGUUCUUACAGUGGCAAAUGAGUUAUGGAAGUCAACAAUCUGAUACCUGUCGUUUGUAACUCAAGGGCAUAUGUGUUAUUUUCUUGUAUUGCUGUUCACCUGUUAGCUUGCUACUAUUGAUCUCACGCUAUUGUUGUUUUUUAAUUUUCUGUAAUAACUUAAGUUACUGUUGAGACCGUGUAACCAUUGCUCUCUGCAACGUGCUUUAUAACAGUGAUUUCUUAUUCCUCUCGUGCUUGCUUAGUGGCAGUUUUAAUAACCUAUUAAUCUUGGAUUGAAAAUAUGCCAUCUUCAUCCUUUCAGGGUGCCAGGACUUAGUGAUAAUGUCUGCACAGGUCAGUUUUCUGUACACGCUAAAACGGUGUUUACCCACCUUACUUAUAACCGUAAUGUCGAAAUAGUUGAUGGCUUCUUUAUUUUCUGUAAAUCUAAUUUUUGGGUGAAUGGCACUCAUUCUCUCCACUAUGUCAUUAAAAUCGCUUUGAUCUCCUUUAACCUACAAAAUAGCAUCAUCAACGUAGCGGUAAUAGCAGACAACUUUACUGGCUGUUGCAGGGUUCUUAGUGAAAAAUUAGUUUUCUAAAUGAUUAAGGUAAAUCUCAGUCAUAAUGCCGAUGAGGGAAUUUCCCAUGGCUGGCCCUCCCGGGUUUGUGGAAUAUAUUACCUUUAAACCUAAAAUAGGAAAACAUCAGUUCUCGAAGCUCCAUUAAUUCACGGUUGUUCUUAACUAUUUCUAAUGGCUUGCAAACAGGCAUGUUAAUAUACAAAUUCACCAUAUCUAGGGAUAAAAAGAUGGAAACAGGUGGUAUGACUUUGUCCGCAAACUAUACUGCUCAUGAAAGUGUAUAGCAUUUUCAAUCUUUGUACUAGCACUGCAUUUAUCACGGCAUGAGGACUUUUUACUUUUUUUAUUAUGAAGCUUAACCUGCACAUGUGCGUCUGGCAUUCAUGGGCUUAUGAUUAUACAUCGCUUUUUGCCCAUCAGAAAACAGAAAAUUUGAUUUUCGAACUUUGCCCAUUAGUUAUGCCUGGAACUUUUUUGUAGGAUCUCUAGCCACUUCACUAAUCCCGUUUUGAGAAAAGGUUAUGCUAACGAAAUUGAAAGAAAUUUUUCUGUAUAAAUGGGAUUACCUAAAUGACCAGAGAGGUUCAUAAAAUUAACAGACAACAACAGCAUAAAAUCAAUGGCAGCACGCUAACAGGUGAACAGGGAGACAAGGAAGUAGUGUACAUGGCUGUGAAUUAUAAAGGACAGGUUUCAGAUGUUACUGCUGGAGAAUUUCGUAAUACCAAUUUGCAUAUAGGGUUUAAAACUAAUGACAUUAUUCACUUCACCCUGAGGUAGCAUGUGAAUAGAAAAAGCCUCAAAAUUCACAGCAGCAGGUGUAUGUAAAUUAAAAUGUGGAAUCUCUAAAAAACCUUACACAGGUCAAACAGGCAGCACGUUUGAAAUAUGGAUCAAAGAGCACACUUCAAUUCAUUGUAAUAAAACAGCAUUUGCUGAGCAUCUUCUAACAUGGAGGCAUGCCAUUGGAACUAUCAAUACGCACUUGAAAGUACUGCACAAUGAACCUAAGGGAUUGAGAUUUUUUCACCCCAUCUACAAGAGCCUGGCAACACAUUAAAUCAGUUGAAUGAUUUUAUUAACGGCUCACACACCAACCCCCUAGCAGUAGGUGGGUGUACAAGUGCUGACUGGCUUCCGUACAUACUGCAACAGUGUGCGCCAUACAGUGUCACCAAACAGAAGGAAAUGCAGGUAACCGUAACUGUCACACCCUGUCCCCUAUAACAUUAGUUGCUGCAUGCUGUUUCGCUUUUAUAAUUUAAUGUUUUUUUUUUAAUCGGUUUCCAUGCUUUUUAAAAUUGACAAUGUUUAAUGGCACUAAAUGCAAUUCUAGAUACUCAACAUAAUCCCAUUUUGGUAAUUUUACGACCUUUAUAUCUUUCACUAUUUGUGUGUCCAUUGUUCUAGGCCUAUACUUUUAAUAUUUUAAUGAAAACAAUACACAGUUUUAUUUUUACACUUUCUGAGUAAGAACUUAUCACAUUGAACUUUCAGAGUAUCACACUUAGAAUAACUACAGAUACUAAUUUAGUUUUUGCUACUUUAUUUCCAAUUUUAUAAUCUACUAUUUUAUUCUCCUUUUACAGUUUUACGCCUUGUACUGGUUGUCCUGUGGAGAACAACAUUUUUCCAUACGGAAUUACGGUGCAAUGAUUUCAUGAUUCUUGAA
rnacentral:misc_RNA from 1 species